UACGUAGGGUGCGAGCGUUAAUCGGAUUUACUGGGCGUAAAGCGUGCGCAGGCGGUGAUGUAAGUCAGGUGUGAAAUCCCCGGGCUUAACCUGGGAACUGCAUUUGUGACUGCAUCGCUGGAGUGCGGCAGAGGGGGAUGGAAUUCCGCGUGUAGCAGUGAAAUGCGUAGAUAUGCGGAGGAACACCGGUGGCGAAGGCAAUCCCCUGGGCCUGCACUGACGCUCAUGCACGAAAGCGUGGGGAGCAAACAGG
rnacentral:rRNA from 1 species